rnacentral:lncRNA from 1 species
AGAAUUACAAGUGCUAAAAUAAGUUUUAAAGUACCUGGAAGCCUCAAAUUUCUCUGUCGCAUGUUUUUCCAUAGCUCAAGAAACUGAAUAUUCAUGUUCAUGGGUAUGCUUACCUGCAAAAUGUCCAAAUAAGAGAAAAUUCCAGAUUUUAGAACAAAAAAAUAUGACUUUGGAGAAACAGACAUAACAUAAACAUAUAUCAGUUGACUAAAAGAAACCAAAUUCUACGACUAACUCUUAAACUUACGUCUCUGCAUAUUGUUAAGGAUGAGACAGAAGGAAACUUGUCCCACUGGAACUACAGCAAAACACAAAACCUGUGACCAGGAAAGCAGCACAUGACUGAAAGCUUAUAUACCAUAGACAAAUCUCAUUUCACCAAAACUCCAACUUAAAACAAACAAAAAAUGCUGAAUGUACUUAGAAAUCCUAACCUGACCUUUGGCCUUGUGAUUUGCUUUGUCUUGACAGCUUCAAGACUAUGUUCAGUCAAUUCCUCAGUGUAUGACCCACACAAAACCCUGAAGCAGCGGUUCGAGAAUUGGCUUAAAACCCACAGCAAAUUAUAUGGAGGAAAGGAUGAGUGGAUACUACGGUUUGGGAUAUACCAGUCUAACGUCCAGUUGAUUGACUACAUCAACUCCCUCCACUUGCCCUUUAAGUUAACGGAUAACAGAUUCGCGGACAUGACCAAUUCAGAGUUUAAGGCCCAUUUUCUCGGCUUGAACACGUCUUCCUUGAGGACACAGAAGAAUCAGAGGCCGGUUUGUGACCCAGCAGGCGAUGUACCAGCUGCUGUGGACUGGAGGAAACAAGGUGCUGUGACUCCUAUUAGAAACCAAGGAAAAUGCGGUAUGAAACUAUGCUCUCACACAAUUCAUUUUAAAGUUGAAAGAUUUAGCAAACAUUUAUAACAACAACACUGAUAAACUAUGGUCAUGAGCAGGAGGUUGCUGGGCAUUCUCUGCAGUGGCAGCUAUCGAAGGAAUCAACAAGAUCAAAACAGGGAAUCUAGUGUCUCUCUCAGAACAACAACUGAUAGAUUGUGAUGUCGGUACUUACAACAAAGGGUGUAGCGGUGGACUAAUGGAAACAGCAUUUGAAUACAUAAAAACCAACGGUGGACUCGUCACCCAGACAGACUACCCAUACACAGGCAUAGAAGGUACCUGCGACCAAGAGAAAACCAAAAACAAGGUAGUAACGAUACAAGGAUUCAAUAAGGUAGCCCAGAACGAAGGGAGCCUACAAAGCGCUGCAGCUAAACAGCCAGUAUCAGUUGGCAUUGACGCUGGUGGAUUCAUCUUUCAGCUAUACAGCUCAGGUGUUUUCACAAGUUACUGUGGAACAAAUCUCAACCAUGGAGUGACUGUUGUAGGAUAUGGUGCAGAAGGAGAUCAAAAGUACUGGAUUGUAAAGAAUUCAUGGGGAACUGGCUGGGGUGAAGAAGGCUACAUACGUAUGGAGCGCGGUUUGAGUGACGUGACCACUGGCAAAUGUGGCAUUGCUAUGCUCGCAAGCUAUCCCUUGCAGUGAGAUUCCACAAAUGUCUUGUGCAAUAGCGCAGAGGCAGCUACAAUAAUUACACGAUUGUGAAAUAAAGUACUAGAGUUAAUUGAGAACCAGGAUUCCAAACAUCAAUUAUGCAUUAUGCAAUUAUAAGAUCAGAAACAUAUGUUUACUAUAGUACCUGGUUCUCCUUGAUACUUUCUCCUCGAAGCAUUCUAGCUUGAUAACUUUGCUUCUUAUAAGGGCUUAGCAUCGAGUAGGGUUUUAGCCAUAACUUGGUAAUUGAGAUGCUCGUAAGGCUUUCUGGGGAGGAAGAGAGCUCUGGCUUCACCUAUCUUCUCGAGGAUCGCUUGGGUUGCAAAGCUCGAGUAGGGAUUUGAGGCUUUUUAGCAGAGACUGCGUCACUCAAAUGAGAGAAGAAGACGAAAAGUUAUAAAAAGUUAAUAACAUAGGAGCAACAUCACUACUAUUUCGAUUUUUUUAGCCAAUCAGAAGGCU